rnacentral:rRNA from 2 species
GAAGGAAUAUUGGGCAAUGGGGGAAACCCUGACCCAGCAACGCCGCGUGAAGGAAGAAGGCCUUCGGGUUGUAAACUUCUGUGACAGGGGAAGAAAGCAAUGACGGUACCCUGAGAGGAAGCUCCGGCAAACUACGUGCCAGCAGCCGCGGUAAUACGUAGGGAGCGAGCGUUGUCCGGAAUUACUGGGCGUAAAGGGCGCGUAGGCGGCUUUUCAAGUUGUAUGUGAAAUACCAGGGCUCAACUCUGGGGGUGCAUACAAAACUGGAGAGCUUGAGUGUGGUAGAGGACAGUGGAAUUCCUAGUGUAGCGGUAAAAUGCGUAGAUAUUAGGAGGAACACCAGUGGCGAAGGCGACUGUCUGGGCCGCAACUGACGCUGAGGCGCGAAAGCGUGGGGAGCAAACAGG